GACGAACGCUGGCGGCGUGCUUAACACAUGCAAGUCGAGCGGUAAGGCCCUUUCGGGGGUACACGAGCGGCGAACGGGUGAGUAACACGUGGGUGACCUGCCCUCAGCUCUGGGAUAAGCCUGGGAAACUGGGUCUAAUACUGGAUAUGACUCCACGGUGCAUGUCGUGGGGUGGAAAGCCUUGUGCGGCUGAGGAUGGGCCCGCGGCCUAUCAGCUUGUUGGUGGGGUGAUGGCCUACCAAGGCGACGACGGGUAGCCGGCCUGAGAGGGCGACCGGCCACACUGGGACUGAGACACGGCCCAGACUCCUACGGGAGGCAGCAGUGGGGAAUCUUGCGCAAUGGG
rnacentral:rRNA from 1 species